AUGUUACAGAACAACAUGGGGCCAUUAGUCCUCAUGGAGGGACCGAGGGACAGGAGCGGUAGAUCUAUCUGGGUGUAGCGAGCCCAGCCCCCGGCCAAACUAGAAACGGACCGUGGGGUGACUUUGUCCACAUACUUUGCCGUGGCGAAAUCUGCUAGGUUGCAUUUCUAAAACAAGGCACGGUUGGAAUAGGAGGACCAU
rnacentral:lncRNA from 1 species